UUUCCGGUUGAUCCUGCCGCCGGCCACCGCUAUCAAGUUCCGACUAAGCCAUGCGAGUCAAGGUAUCGUAAGAUGCCGGCAAACUGCUCAGUAACACGUGGAUAAUCUAACCUUGAGUAAGGGAUAACCUCGGGAAACUGAGGAUAAUACCUUAUAAUUGCUUAAAACUGGAAUGUUUAAGCAAUAAAAGUUCCGACGCUCAAGGAUGAGUCUGCGACCUAUCAGGUAGUAGGUGGUGUAAUGGACCACCUAGCCUCAGACGGGUACGGGCCCUGGGAGGGGUAGCCCGGAGAUGGACUCUGAGACAUCAGUCCAGGCCCUACGGGGCGCAGCAGGCGCGAACACUGUGCAAUGCGCGAAAGCGCGACACGGGGAGCUUGAGUGUCUUGGCAUAGCCAAGACUUUUCUCAUUCCUAAAAAGCAUGAGGAAUAAGUGCUGGGUAAGACGGGUGCCAGCCGCCGCGGUAACACCCGCAGCACAAGUGGUGGUCACUUUUAUUGAGCCUAAAGCGUUCGUAGCCGGUUUUGUAAAUCUUUAGAUAAAGCCUGAAGCUUAACUCCAGAAAGUCUGAAGAGACUGCAAGACUUGAGAUCGGGUGAGGUUAAACGUACUUUCAGGGUAGGGGUAAAAUCCUGUAAUCCUGGAAGGACAACCGGUGGCGAAGGCGUUCAACUAGAACAGAUCCGACGGUGAGGAACGAGGGCUAGGGGAGCAAACCGGAUUAGAUACCCGGGUAGUCCUAGCUGUAAACACUGCCCACUUGGUGUUGCCUCUCCGUUGAGGGGAGGCAGUGCCGGAGCGAAGGUGUUAAGUGGGCCGCUUGGGGAGUAUGGUCGCAAGGCUGAAACUUAAAGGAAUUGGCGGGGGAGCACCGCAACGGGAGGAGCGUGCGGUUUAAUUGGAUUCAACGCCGGA
rnacentral:rRNA from 1 species